AGGAAUGUAGCUCAAUGGUAGAGUGCUUGCCUAGCAAGCAUGAGACUGGGUCCAUCCCUA
rnacentral:tRNA from 1 species